UACAGAGGUCCCAAGCGUUGUUCGGAUUUACUGGGCGUAAAGCGUGCGCAGGCGGUGAUGUAAGACAGAUGUGAAAUCCCCGGGCUCAACCUGGGAACUGCAUUUGUGACUGCAUCGCUGGAGUGCGGCAGAGGGGGAUGGAAUUCCGCGUGUAGCGGUGGAAUGCGCAGAUAUCAGGAGGAACACCGGUGGCGAAGGCGGGAUCCUGGGCCAGUACUGACGCUGAGGAGCGAAAGCGUGGGGAGCAAACAGG
rnacentral:rRNA from 1 species